rnacentral:rRNA from 1 species
CGGGGUGGAGUAAUGUCUGGAAACGUAGCCUGAUGGAGGGGGAUAACUACUGGAAACGGUAGCUAAUACCGCAUAACGUCGCAAGACCAAAGAGGGGGACCUUCGGGGCCUCUUGCCAUCGGAUGUGCCCAGAUGGGAUUAGCUAGUAGGUGGGGUAACGGCUCACCUAGGCGACGAUCCCUAGCUGGUCUGAGAGGAUGACCAGCCACACUGGAACUGAGACACGGUCCAG